CCCAGGCCGAUGUGUAGGUUGGAGUAAUAAUGUACAUAAAGUUGUUUGUCACGUAUUCAACUCAGGGUCACGUUCAAAGGCCACCAGCGGCCGGGCAGGUCAAGGAGUGAAGCAGACCGGAUGUGAGGCAGCAGGGAGUGGUGGAGACUACGGCAAGGCACGGAGCACAGGAUCCAUCCGAAGGGGACAGUCUCGCCAGCUCCAGCUGCAUGUCGCCUUGCAAGAACGCGCACGCCCAGGGUUGUGGGUCCACAUUUUAAGAGAAACCAGGAACGGAGAGGGGUCAGACCGAAGAUGUUGAAUGCGGUUUCUAAUUUGGAAGACAGAGAAGAAACAGAGGCAGGAUCCGUCCUCGGAGCCAAUAAGGAGAAGAAAGGCAUUCGUUAGCGAGAAGGGGUAGGAAAGGCCCUGCGCCCUGGGUCCUAAGUUCAGGGCUCUGGGCUCUGCUUUGCUACUAAGUGUUCUCGCCACCCCACCCCCACCCCCCGCCCAAGGAAUUUACAACCGUGGGCCUUACUUAGCUUCUUUGUAGAAUAAAUGCAUUAAAAAAAAAAUCCGACAGCCCUUUGGAGGUGAAGUUCCCAUUAUCGAGGAAGUCGAGGCAGCAAAGACACGAGGCCUGGGCGUGUUGCAGAAACUAUGGCAUUUGUUGACAUUUCUUGUGUGUCUGCGAGGUGCUGCCCGGAUGGCCGCAUUCUUGCUCACUCUGAAAAAGUAAACACGCUCACAGCGCACCCCAAUUACUGCCGCUGCCUGAGAACAAUGCUAUCAAAGAAGCGGGCGCUGUGUUACAGACGCGAUCAGCAGGAGAGGAAAGUAAAGCAUAGGACGGUGCAGCCCGCGAUAGCCG